rnacentral:rRNA from 1 species
GACGAACGCUGGCGGCGUGCUUAACACAUGCAAGUCGAACGGAAAGGCCCUGCUUUUGUGGGGUGCUCGAGUGGCGAACGGGUGAGUAACACGUGAGUAACCUGCCCUUGACUUUGGGAUAACUUCAGGAAACUGGGGCUAAUACCGGAUAGGAGCUCCUGCUGCAUGGUGGGGGUUGGAAAGUUUCGGCGGUUGGGGAUGGACUCGCGGCUUAUCAGCUUGUUGGUGGGGUAGUGGCUUACCAAGGCUUUGACGGGUAGCCGGCCUGAGAGGGUGACCGGCCACAUUGGGACUGAGAUACGGCCCAGACUCCUACGGGAGGCAGGAGUGGGGAAUAUUGCACCAUGGGCGGAAGCCUGAUGCAGCAUCGCCGCGUGCGGGAUGACGGCCUUCGGGUUGUACAUCGCUUUCGCCUGUGACGAAGCGUGAGUGACGGUAAUGGGUAAAGAAGCACCGGCUAACUACGG